AUCGUCUCUAAUCCAACGGUAGCAGGAUGGUUCCAUCUCUCCUGUUUUUCCCCGCCCACGAGGAGCCGAGCAUUUAUUCUCCUCUUUCUUCGCCGAGCAUCCCGCCUGUCGAUCCUUCCAGAGCCUCCCAGUCCCAGCGCCUUCCUUUCUCCAUCCCCUAAUCCACAUCUCCCUUCUCCCAGCAACUAACUUCCUCCAUCCCCUCACCGAAGGCAAGCACAUCCCCAACGAGUCCACGACGCCCAGGCCGCCAUCGAACCGGUUGUGGUUGCCGCGCUGGGCCGCUGAGGUGUCUGCAUCGACCGGUCGCCGGGGAGCAGUGCCGUGCCGGACGCUGCCACCGAAGGCCAAGCGAUGCGACGGCGGACGGGGUCUACGGCGCCAGCGGGAUGGCUUCCCGUUCAGCCGCGACCAGUGUCCGUGUAGCUGCAGCGCGCUUGCCGCGUAUGGCGCCUCGACGACGGCCUCAUCCAUAUAGGCGGCGACGCCCCUGAAGGUCAAUUUAGCGCCGGUGCCGGUGCCGGUGCCGUUGAUGUGUCCUGUGCCCAAAUCGCUACACGGCGCGAGCGGCUCCCUCGUGGGCGUGCCGAACCGAGGGAACGACGAAGGGAUCGCGGACUAGGAUGGGCUUGGCGCGACAGAAUACCUGACGGGCAUGCUCAAGGUCGCCAGGGUAAUGGGUACUGCGGCGGCGAUGUGCUGUUUGAGGAGCGUGAAUCCAGGGGCACAAUACGCGGCAAGAUCCCAUCCUAGCAUCCUUCCGUGCUGGAAGAUGAUGGCUGGUAGUGGAUCGGGUGGAUAUAUAUUUUUUGUCGCUAGAGGAUCGAGUGGAUCUUAGCCUGAUAAGCUCGGCGCCUAGAUAUCAUACUCUUUUUUUUUGCAAAAAACCGUGAUACUGUACUCUGCUUGCAUAUGAAUAUGACUACACUUUAUCAAAAAAAAAUCAAUGAGCUUGACUUGGCUGUAAUUUGUGUUUGUUUAAUUUUUAAUUUAAUGAUAUGAGCAGAAAUCUUAAAAAAUGUAUUUGUUUCAAAUGUUAACAAACAAAAAAUAAUAGGUAUUGAACGUCAAAAUAAAAUAAAAAUAGUAGGUAUUGGUCUAGACUAUAAUUAGUGGGCUAAAGAUUUCUAAUGAAAUUGAUGGGGCAAAAUAUUAAUUGGGCCACAACUACAACGAGUGGGCUAAGAUUUUAGCUGGGCUGAUGAUCACAUGGGCCGGAACUAAAAGAAUGGGCUAGAAUCCUAUAUGGGCUGACUACCAGAUGGGCCGCCAUGUCGGAUGAUGACGUGGCAUGCACGUUAACGUCCUUAUUAGCACGUCUGUUAAGUGCCAUCUGUGACGGUCAAGAGCCGUCAUGGAUCCAUGACGGUAUUGGAAGAUCCGUCACCGAGCGCAUGGUGGUCAAAUUAUGACGCGAUAUACAUGACAGAUUUUAAAUCCGUCACGCAUGGCCAUCCAUGAUGGUUUUGUGCCCGUCCACGACAGUUGGAAUCCGUCAUGUAUUAACAGAUUUCUUGUAGUGUUCCUCCGUCUGGAAAUACUUGUCCGGGGAAUGGAUGACUCUAGAUGUAUUUUAAUUCUAGAUACAUCCAUUUAUAUUCAUUUCUUGGACAAAUAUUUUCGGACGGAGGGAGUAUAGUAUACAGCGCAGCUUUUGAAAAUAAAUGUUUGCAAAAGUGUUGCCGAGAAGCAACUUACACGGCCCCUUUCGGACACUCUGGAUAGUCUAUACUAGUAUAUAUAAUGAAGAUGUAUCCGUGAUGCUUGUGACAUUCCCAUAUUUGUCCGGUGAUGUUUGCAUAGACUAACGUGGACAGAAUCUUCAAAUAUGGCAAAGCUAAUUAAUGCACGUGUCAUCGACUCAACCCUCUGUUGCUUAUCUGUCAUGCCUCUCUUACUAGUUUUGUUGAUUUGUGCAGCUUUGAAGAUGGAUUAAUGAAAGACGGCGGCAAUGACCUAUGAGUGCGUCGGACCGAUUUGUGCCCCAGACCCAGUAUGUGGCUUGGUCGGGGCCUCCGGCUUUAGAUGUUAGGCUAGGUAAGAAGUCUGGGUAUUCGACUCACACUUUUUGCACCCCUUUAUCAAUGGAUACGAGUAGUGACAGAUGUUGUCAAGAUGGUGGCUUCACACGUAUUGAUGUAUUACUUUGUAAGGUCUUUGUGAAUAAUUAAUAAAGUGGCUGCAUGCAUCUUUGAGAUGCCGAGGCCGGGGGUCAUCCUCCUUUUUUU
rnacentral:lncRNA from 1 species